rnacentral:rRNA from 1 species
ACUCCUACGGGAGGCAGCAGUGGGGAAUAUUGCACAAUGGGCGCAAGCCUGAUGCAGCCAUGCCGCGUGUAUGAAGAAGGCCUUCGGGUUGUAAAGUACUUUCAGCAGUGAGGAAGGUGGGUAUGUUAAUAGCAUAUUCUAUUUGUACGUUAGCUGCAGAAGAAGCACCGGCUAACUCCGUGCCAGCAGCCGCGGUAAUACGGAGGGUGCGAGCGUUAAUCGGAAUUACUGGGCGUAAAGCGCAUGCAGGUGGUUUGUUAAGUCAGAUGUGAAAGCCCGGGGCUCAACCUCGGAAUUGCAUUUGAAACUGGCAAACUAGAGUACUGGUAGAGGGGGUAGAAUUUCAGGUGUAGCGGUGAAAUGCGUAGAGAUCUGAAGGAAUACCGGUGGCGAAGGCGGCCCCUGGACAGAUACUGACACUCAGAUGCGAAAGCGUGGGAGCAAACAGGAUUAGAU